rnacentral:lncRNA from 1 species
UCACUAUAUCAAAUGUAUUUAAUGUUUUAGGUAGGUUUAAAAGCAGAAAUGUUGAAGCCUACCCCAAGACCAUCUAAAGCCUUAGUGAUGACAGGAUGCUAUGGGCAAGGGCUCCUUGGGGUGCAGCCUGGAAAGCAGUUUAAUCUUUUGUCCUGAGACUUCCUUGAAACUUCAUUUGUUGCAAAAAAUAAAGAAUACCUCAUUGUAGUAGUCAAAGUGUUGAUUGCAUCGAUUGCCCAUAAGACAGCUCUUGUACAUGUAGUACUUUGAAACAUCAAUUUUUUGGCAUUUGUUUACAUGCGUGCUGGGAAAUACCACAAGCACAUUGUCAGACAGUGCAAGAAUACACGUAGGCACAUGCAUAUUGGAAUGUGCGAUGUAUCACCAACCACUGGUGCAUGUUUGAAUGAGUAGGAGGGAGGGGUCAGUGGAGUGGAACUAGUGACUGAGAAUCUCUUCAAGCACAAAGGAAGAGAAGGUAGGGGAAGCCAUCUGAGUAAGACAUUAAAAGUCCUAUGGAAUAAGUCAAGAAUUAGUUGUCAAUGGGCUGAUGGUGUUUUGAGGUUUACAAGCAAUAUUGACAGUGUAAAAUGGUUUACAAAAGAAUGCAAUCUAGGGAAGGAAAGGCAGGUUAGUGUUGAGAUUUUGAAAAAUGUUCUGGAUUUCAACAGAGCAGGAGGAAAACAUGGUUACAUUUACACAUGGUACUGAGACCAAAAUUUGUUUAUAAGAAAAUUUCAGAACAAGUGGUGGAUGAAAAUCUCAUUAGCUUACUCAGUUGAGUUUAUGAAAAAUAAUGGAAGGAAAUUGGCUGCAGAAGUCGAAGUUCAGAGGAAGGAAGGGUACAUUUUUAACGGAUGUGCCUUUCCAGGGUGUCAACAGAGUUGUUGGCUUCCAUCUGACAAUGGACAUCAUCAAUAUAAAAGUUAACUCCAUAACAGAGCCCUGCAGAGACUUUCCAGGCUUCCAGUUGACCGUGCUCUACUUGCCAAAGGUAAAUGAAAGAUGUUAAUAUACUAAUACAGUAUAUUUCAAUAGAGUUAACAUAUGGUAAGAACUCCGAAAUUGCAUUUGUGUACACAUGCAACCUUCUCUUCUUGAACGAAGUGCAGAGAUACUGGAAAGAUAAAAGUUAAUGUCCAAAAUGAGAUUACUGCCUCUAUGGUCUUCCAAAUGUCACCUUCAGCUAGUUUUUAUGUAUUUUAUGUCAGACAAAACUAUGAGUCAAAGCAGUGAAAAAUACCCUGCAAGGAGGCAUUAAAUAUUCAAUAACUUGAAAUAUUGCUCAUUACUUGAAUAGUAUAUAUCUCAUCGACUGAAAUCCUUCAAAUCCAUUUAUGCCCUCUGGUUUCAAUUAUAUGCUUGACAUGUGAAAAACAAAAAUCCACAGUUACAAGUGUGUGGAUAAUAUAAGUAAAGGCAAUCUCUUGAAAACACCACAACCGCUCAGGUUGGCGCAAAUUGAUGAUCGUUAGACAGGCAGUAGGUCUUUUUUGUUUCCAUUACCCUAUGUUAUCACAGCAACUAAUCAGGAUAUAAGAAAAAGCCACCUUUAUUGAAGAAGGGGUCAACUAGCUCAUCCGAAGUAAACUCUUAUUGAGACAACUUGAAAAUUCAAAUAUUGUUUUAACUACAUGUACAACGUCUUCACAGAGCUGGGACGAAGUUUCUCAGAAUGCUCUCUGAGCAACUUUAAUUGAUCUCAGCACAAAAAUGAAGUUGACUACCUUUACAGUCGCAGUACUGUGCCAAGUAGCACAGCAGGAAAAUGUGAAGGAACACCUGAUCAAGGCUGAUCAGUUCCAGGAAGUGGAAAGCUGUUACUACCAAGUGGCCGACACCAAACCAGUUGAUUUUGAACAAAAAGAUGGGUGUCAUGACAGACACAAUGCAACCUGAUUCUUGCGGGAACACCUACAAAGCCGAGGAUGGGGCCAAGAUCGACCCUGGUCAGAAACCUAUGGCUUCAUACCAGGAGCUCAUUCGAACAUACUCUGCCCAGCAGCAGUGGGUCCUGAGUGCAUGCAGUUGCACAGGUAUUGGCAUACUGGCCUGCAUAACAGAGUCCAGAAGACUCGGUUGACAGAAGGGCUGACACACAGGCAAACCUACAGACAAGGUACAAUGCACUGGGUGUGCUGUCCAAGCUGAAGAAGACAUCGAAGGCAAUUCAACAGCCAAAACCUCCCCUUCAGUGUCGGAAUCAGAAGAUGUUUGGAGUUUUGAUGAUUCAGUCACAGAUGACAAACCUCUGAGUCUAUCAAACUAGUUGAUGUUGUCAUAUUUUUAGAUUUCAACCACCCCUGUAAUUUUUGUAUUUCUUAAUU